UGCAAUAAAUUAAUGGCUGUAAAUUACUUGGCUCAAUCCUGGAACGCACAGGGUUCCAGAAAGACUGGUUAUUAUUAUUAGCACCGUUUAUUAUUAUUACUGCUGUUGCUACAAUUUGCACCCAGAGCAGCUCAUAAUAGAGGCAAAAAUCAACCCUCCUAGGUAAUCGCACCAACAGGCUGCUCUACAAUAUAUGAAUUGACGUCUGGCUUCAGGAGGAAUACUCGAUUCACGUCUCAAAAUAAUGUGGCGCCGUGUGUGCAGAAAUGAACAAAGGGCUUUCCUACUUUGGGGACUCAGUCUAACGUGCUGGGUCUUACCCUUUUGGAGGUCGGAGCGUUGGCCGACGGUGACCGACCCUUGCGUGCACAAGGCCCUUUGCAACAUUCCGGUUAUGGCGGGUCUUUUCGAGGCGGGCCUCGGAAGGGAGGAACGGUUAGGACCCACCUCAUCUACGACGGGCCUUCUGCCAGGCACCGUACAUCCCGGGGCCCGUGCGAUCCUCACAAUCACCCGAACGCGGAGAAAACCGAAGCUCACAGAACGAAGUGUCUUUCUCAAGGUCACUUAGUACGCAUGAUACUUGCACUGUUUCCGGGGCCAUUUCUCCUGUGCCUCCUUUUCCAGUGCUUGUUAACUAUCAAUUUAAGCACCCUUAAAGGUGAAAUCGCUUCAAAACCCCUUCCACGGUUUGACAGCCUACAUUCAAGCCUUUUAGCAUAAUUGGGGAAGUCAGUGGGCGGGUGAUUCUAGCUUGCUGCAGCAGAAGCCAGUAAGCCAUCUACUUAUCAUUCUGUUGGCGAAGUUUCUCUGCUUUCUUUCCUCUCGAUAACACAGCAGGAUGUCAUUUGCAAGGAUGCCAAUCCCAACACGGUUCCUGCACCUAACUUGCGACAUCAGUUACUGACUGGUUGUGAGAAAUGCCCCCGUUGUACAAAUGAGCCCCUUCCCUUUGACACCUAAAUUGUCUUCGUGCCUGUUCUACACGUCGGAGGGCGAAGAGAGGGCUUUCCAAUUUCACACCCCUAAUCCAAUUUACCAGACACGGCAGUUCAUAAGUUUGAAAGCAGAAGAGGAAGGACUCCACCGCUGUCCAGAGUGGACCUGCAGUCCUGUCGUGUGCCACAGAGAUCCCAUUUUCAGGACCAGCCAUCCUCCUUCCUCUGCACACACACGGAAAGUAAAAGGGGUAAUUAUCCCCCAGGAGCACCUUAAUUGUUCCAAUUAACCUGACCACUUUUUGCAAUCAAAGCCAGGCGGAGAAGAGGAAUUAAAGCGAUCAAACACCGUUUUAUGGGCUGUAGGUAAGUAAGAGACAAGGCAGGGCCCUUUCUCUGAAGGACGGGCUCUGAAACAACAUAGGCUUGCACUCAGGGAUUUUUCUACCACCGUUACCGAAAAGAAAAAUGACAUUUUAGCAGCUUGUAAUUCUACCAUCACUGUGCCUUUCUUUCAUAACACAGCACAUGACCACAAGUAUCCACGCUCAUUUAAGCUGUCUGUGGAAGCACUCUGUGAGCGGAACUGUUUAACUGCGUUCUCGGGCAGGCAAGCCUGGCUUUGAACCCCCGUUCUAAAACUAACGCGCGCUCCAGUACUGGACAAGCAAGGAAACGCCGCGGAACCUCACCAUCCCGAGCUACGAGGUGGGCACCGGCCCCAUAUUUUAGACGAUGGAAGUGACGCUUCAGUGAACUGAAGUUACCUGCCUGCGUUCACGUUUGAGCUUGUUUCAGGUGUAGAAUAUGGUGAUUCAACAAUUCCGUACAUUCCCCCGCGCUCAUCAGAGUAAGUGUUCUGUCAAUCCCCCCUUAUCUGUUUCACUCAUCCCUCCUCCC